rnacentral:rRNA from 1 species
CAACAAUGCCAUAUCACCCUGCAGCCCAAGACUGGUUGCCCACUGAAGCUAAGCAGGGUUGAGCCUGGUCAGUACCUGGAUGGGAGACCUCUUGGGAAAACUCGGUAGCUGUUGG